AGGGAGGAAUGGAAAAUAGAAGGGAAAAAUAUCAUAAGAAACCUUGAAUGAUGCUUUGCUUCAUGAUUCUUCUUAGCCACAUCAAUCAUCUGAGCUUCCCCACUAUUUUGACUGUCAUGUGUCUUGCCCAUUAGCUCUCAGUCACUAAAAAUCAUUAUUAAUGCAUCAUCCAGCGUCUAACAUUAUGCCUUGAAAUUGCAAAUAGU
rnacentral:misc_RNA from 1 species